rnacentral:rRNA from 1 species
CCUACGGGAGGCAGCAGUGGGGAAUAUUGGACAAUGGGCGAAAGCCUGAUCCAGCAAUUCCGCGUGUGUGAAGAAGGCCUUCGGGUUGUAAAGCACUUUAGUGGGGGAAGAAACAGCUUGGCCACACCAAGCCUUGACGGUACCCCAAGAAUAAGCACCGGCUAACUCUGUGCCAGCAGCCGCGGUAAUACAGAGGGUGCAAGCGUUAAUCGGAUUUACUGGGCGUAAAGGGUGCGUAGGUGGCUAUUUAAGUCGGAUGUGAAAGCCCGGGGCUCAACCUCGGAAUUGCAUUCGAUACUGAGUGGCUAGAGUUCGGUAGAGGGCGGCGGAAUUUCCGGUGUAGCGGUGAAAUGCGUAGAUAUCGGAAGGAACAUCAAUGGCGAAGGCAGCCGCCUGGGCCUGGACUGACACUGAGGCACGAAAGCGUGGGUAGCAAACAGGAUUAGAUACCCUGGUAGUCCACGCCGUAAACGAUGAGAACUUGACGUUGGUUCGUUUUACGAAUCGGUGUCGCAGCUAACGCGAUAAGUUCUCCGCCUGGGGAGGUACGCGCGAGUAGAACGUACGAAGAAGUAGACGCGNGAGACGNGCGACGACGACGACGAGGGAGGAGG